GCCGGGCGUGGUGGCUCACGCCUGUAAUCCCAGCACUUUGGGAGGCCGAGGCGGGUGGAUCACCUGAGGUCAGGAGUUCGAGACCAGCCUGACCAACACGGUGAAAUCCCGUCACUA
rnacentral:SRP_RNA from 1 species